rnacentral:rRNA from 1 species
GUGGCGAACGGGUGAGUAACACGUGAGUAACCUGCCCUUAACUCUGGGAUAAGCCUGGGAAACUGGGUCUAAUACCGGAUAUGACUCCUCAUCGCAUGGUGGGGGGUGGAAAGCUUUUGUGGUUUUGGAUGGACUCGCGGCCUAUCAGCUUGUUGGUGAGGUAAUGGCUCACCAAGGCGACGACGGGUAGCCGGCCUGAGAGGGUGACCGGCCACACUGGGACUGAGACACGGCCCAGACUCCUACGGGAGGCAGCAGUGGGGAAUAUUGCACAAUGGGCGGAAGCCUGAUGCAGCGACGCCGCGUGAGGGAUGACGGCCUUCGGGUUGUAAACCUCUUUCAGUAGGGAAGAAGCGAAAGUGACGGUACCUGCAGAAGAAGCGCCGGCUAACUACGUGCCAGCAGCCGCGGUAAUACGUAGGGCGCAAGCGUUAUCCGGAAUUAUUGGGCGUAAAGAGCUCGUAGGCGGUUUGUCGCGUCUGCCGUGAAAGUCCGGGGCUCAACUCCGGAUCUGCGGUGGGUACGGGCAGACUAGAGUGAUGUAGGGGAGACUGGAAUUCCUGGUGUAGCGGUGAAAUGCGCAGAUAUCAGGAGGAACACCGAUGGCGAAGGCAGGUCUCUGGGCAUUAACUGACGCUGAGGAGCGAAAGCAUGGGGAGCGAACAGGAUUAGAUACCCUGGUAGUCCAUGCCGUAAACGUUGGGCACUAGGUGUGGGG